rnacentral:rRNA from 1 species
GACAGAGGUCCCGAGCGUUAGGCGGAAUCACUGGGCUUAAAGCGCGUGUAGGCGGAUGAGCACGUCUGUCGCUGAAAUCCCCCGGCUCAACCGGGGAACGGGCGCGGAUACGGCUCGUCUCGAGGGGCGUAGGGGGACCUGGAACUUCCGGUGGAGCGGUGAAAUGCGUUGAGAUCGGAAGGAACGCCCGUGGCGAAAGCGAGGUCCUGGACGCCUACUGACGCUGAGACGCGAAAGCCAGGGGAGCGAACGGG